rnacentral:rRNA from 1 species
CCUACGGGUGGCUGCAGUGGGGAAUAUUGGACAAUGGGGGCAACCCUGAUCCAGCCAUGCCGCGUGUGUGAAGAAGGCCCUCGGGUUGUAAAGCACUUUCAGUGAGGAAGAACGCCUGGUGGUUAAUACCCAUCAGGAAAGACAUCACUCACAGAAGAAGCACCGGCUAACUCCGUGCCAGCAGCCGCGGUAAUACGGAGGGUGCGAGCGUUAAUCGGAAUUACUGGGCGUAAAGCGCGCGUAGGUGGCUUGAUAAACCGGUUGUGAAAGCCCCGGGCUCAACCUGGGAACGGCAUCCGGAACUGUCAAGCUAGAGUGCAGGAGAGGAAGGUAGAAUUCCCGGUGUAGCGGUGAAAUGCGUAGAGAUCGGGAGGAAUACCAGUGGCGAAGGCGGCCUUCUGGACUGACACUGACACUGAGGUGCGAACGCGUGGGUAGCAAACAGGACUAGAUACCCCUGUAGUC